rnacentral:rRNA from 1 species
GACGAACGCUGGCGGCGUGCUUAACACAUGCAAGUCGAACGGAAAGGCCCUUCGGGGUACUCGAGUGGCGAACGGGCGAGCAACACGUGGGCGAUCUGCCCUGCACUUUGGGAUAAGCCUGGGAAAUUGGGUCUAAUACCGAAUAGGACCACGCGCUUCAUGGUGUGUGGGGGAAAGCGUUUGCGGUGUGGGAUGGGCCCGCGGCCUAUCAGCUUGUAGGUGGGGGAAUGGCCUACCAAGUCGACGACGGAUAGCCGGCCUGAGCGCGUGACCGGCCACACGGCGCCUGAGAGAGGGCCCAGACUCCAACGGUACGCACCGGUGGGGAACAUUACGCAGUGACCGCAAGCCAGUUACAGCGGCGCCGCGUGAGGGAAGACGGCCUUCGAGUUGUAAACCUAUUUCAAAAGGGACGAAGCGCACGUGACGGUACCUAUAGAGGAAGCACCGGCCAACUACGUG